rnacentral:lncRNA from 1 species
UUUUGAACUCCCGACCUCAGGUGAUCUGCCUGCCUCGGCCUCCCAAAGUGCUGGGAUUACAGGCAUGAGCCACUGCGCCUAACUUCUUUUAUUUUGUGGGUUUUCUUUGCCUAUUAUUUCAAAGCUGGCACUCUUCUCCUACUUCUGAUUUUAAGCCACAUUACGGGACGAGUUCCAAUGCACCUUUUGCUCCCCUUAUGCUUCUAUUUUCUGUCGUCAUAGCUUUUACAUAUGGAUUAUGUACAUUGAACCUCCAGGAUAAAGUAUCUAGGGUUCAGACACUAUAAACUAGAGGGCCAAGGGACUUAUGGAGGCCACAUCCAAGAAGGUAUUUCUGGAGGGAUGGAAAUGGAAAUAGGGAAAUGUGGUGGUAAAAAGUAAAAUGAGAAUAGAAUUAUUAUUAGGGGAAAGCUUGAGUUUGGGUUUGGACAAAGAAACUGUCAAAAAACAAAAUCUAGGGGAAAGCUUAGGCUCCAGAUGAACACCAGAAUUAACUGCACUGGUAUUUGCUGGUAUUUGAUCCUGGGCAAGAUACUCAUGAGGGUCUGAUGCAUACAAGUUAACAUAUAUCUGAAGGAUAACAAGGAAAAGUGUCACCACUAUAAUUAAUUCCUGUAACAUUGGAUCCUGAAAGAAUUAGUGGUCUGAACCAUAUAAAGAUAGGCUUAUCCAAAGGAGGAGAGGGAGAAAAAAUCCAAACUAAUUACAGUGAUAUUGGAUUCUGAAUAAGUUAGUCUUAGGGUGUAAUCCAAAUACAGGAACACUUCUCUGAAGGAGAAGAGGAAAAAAUUCACCCCAAAUUUAUAUUCAAAUAACACAAACUAGUUAUUUGUGUUGUCUAGUUUUUUGUUUUUUUUUUUUUAAGACAUAGUCUCUCUCUGUCACCCAGGCUGGAGUGUAGUGACGUGAUCUCGGCUCACUGCAACCUCCACCUCCCAGGUUGAAGCAAUUCUCCCUGCCUCAGCCUCCUGAGUAGUUGGGAUUACAGGCAUGCGCCACCACCCCCAGCUAAUUUUUGUAUUUUUAGUAGAGACGUGGUUUCACCACAUUGGCCAGGCUGGUCUCGAACUCCAGACCUCAGGUGAUCACCUACCUCGGCCUCCCAAAGUGCUGGAAUUACAAGCAUGAGCCACCCUGCCUGGCCGUCUAAUCUUUAUAAGAUUUACCUGAAGCAGGAGGAAGGCAAACGCACAAGCAAAAUUAAUUCUAGCGAUAUUGGAUGCUGGACAAAUUAGUCAUGAGGUCUGAUCAACAUAACCAAAUGCUUAUCUGAGGGAGGAGGCAAAAAGUGCUACCACCAAAUUAAUUCCAGAGAUAUUAAAUUCCUGAUGAGUUAGUUACGUGAUCUGGUCCAUAAAAGUGAUCACGUCUCUCCGAAGGAGGGAGAAAGUCACCCCUAACAUUAAAUCCAAAGAUGUUUGUUUCUAGACUAGGUAUGUGUGUUGUCUGAUCCAUGUAAGUAAGUGCAUCUUUGAAGGAGUACAGAGAAAAGACCACAUGUUUAUUGAAAAGACUAUGUGGAUAUCACUGGCACUGGGUUUUGUCCCAAAGUGCAAUUUUGGUGAAGAAAAAUGAGUAAGAGUGUGAGAGAGUCUCCUAGUAUGAGGAAAAUACCAGGGUAGAAUAGAAGCGAGCUAUCAUAGAAACAAGUGGUACAGCUCUUGUCACAGAGCGGGAAGGACACUACAGAACGGUGGCUGACAAAGCAGUUACUCUGGGUCAGAGUGGAAAAGAAAGUAGGCAACUACAGUGGGCAGGAAACUGAAAAUAUAGUGGUUAGCAAACAAGAAAUCGGUCAGUAGGUACCAAGGUUCAACUACAAUAGAAAGCAAAUCCCCUGUCUUAGUGGAAAGGAAAGUGGACAACUGUACAGCCAGGGAAGCACCCAGAAAUUUCACUGUGGAAAGGAAUGAGGGCAGCUAGGAAAGGGCAGGGAAUUCCAGGUAGUCAGAAAUCAUUGAACAGGUAUUGAAGUGGAUUGAAAUGCGUGUAGUAAAUGGCCAACCAAUCAGAAUCUGCAAGGUCAGUGUAUUAGUCAGUUCUCACGUUGCUAUAAAGAACUUCCCGGCCAGGUGCGGUGGCUCACGCCUGUAAUCCUAGCAUUUUGGCAGGCCGAGG